rnacentral:rRNA from 1 species
UACAGAGGUCUCAAGCGUUGUUCGGAUUCAUUGGGCGUAAAGGGUGCGUAGGCGGCGCAGUAAGUCGGGUGUGAAAUCUCGGGGCUUAACUCCGAAACUGCAUUCGAUACUGCCGUGCUUGAGGACUGGAGAGGAGACUGGAAUUUACGGUGUAGCGGUGAAAUGCGUAGAUAUCGUAAGGAAGACCAGUGGCGAAGGCGGGUCUCUGGACAGUUCCUGACGCUGAGGCGCGAAAGCUAGGGGAGCAAACGGG